rnacentral:lncRNA from 1 species
GCCUACCAGACCAGAUAAAGUUGACGAAACUACAAUUGCCAACAUAUUUGACAGAGACAACUGAGUGUAAAUUAAAGAAGUUAAUGGAUAAAAUUUCAGAAACUGAUUUGAAUUUUUAUGGAGUCCUUAUGAAUAGUUUCCAUGAGCUAGAGCCAGCAUAUUCAGAAUACUACAGAAAUGUUAUGGGAAGAAAGGUAUGGAAUAUUGGCCCUUUCUCACUUUUCAAUAGGGACACCAAUGAUAAAGCACAUAGAGGGGACAAAGCCUCCAUUAGUGAACAUGAAUGUCUGAAAUGGUUGAACUCAAAAAAAGCCAACUCGGUUCUCUAUGUAUGCUUUGGAGCUUUUUCAACUUCUCAAAUUCACAAUUACUUGAGAUUGCUAUGGCACUUGAAGCUUCUAGGCAAAACUUCAUCUGGGUUGUGAGAAAGGAAGAGGAAAAAAAGAAUGAAGAAAUAGAAGAAUGGAUACUGGAAGGAUUCAUAAAGAGAAUAGAGGGGAGAGGCUUGAUAAUAAAGGGAUGGGCGCCCCAGGUGUUGAUCCUAGAUCAUGAAGCUGUUGGAGGGUUUAUGACUCAUUGUGGAUGGAACUCGACUUUAGAGGGAGUCAGUGCAGGAGUGCCAAUGGUCACAUGGCCUCUUUAUGCUGAGAAGUUUGAUAAUGAAAAGCUUAUUACAGAUGUUUUGAAGAUAGGAAUAGGUGUUGGUGCCCAAGAAUGGUCUAGAUAUGAGAAGAAAAUUCUAGUGAGAAAAGAAGAUAUAGAAAAAGCAGUGAUUCAGUUGAUGAUUGGUGAAGAAGCUGAGGAAAUAAGAAAUAGAGCUAUGGCAACGAAAGAGAUGGCAAGAAGAGCAACUGAAGAAGGAGGAUCAUCUUACUCCGGCAUCAAGGCAUUGCUAGAAGAAUUAAGGGCCCUCAAGGCAAGCAAGUAGAAUGCACUAGAAACAGAAUAGGAAAAAUAGAAAAGGAAUAGAAGGAAAACCAAUUUAUAUGCUUCAAAUGAUUGUUUAUACUUCCUUAUAAAACCCCUCCUCAUUUGUUCCAGAUUUACACUAUCUUCAUAUGAUUGUUUAUACUUCCUUAUAAAACCCCUCCUUAUUUGUACCAGAUUUGCACUAUCUUCAUGUUGCAUAUAAAUGGAUUUGAAGUACAAAAUUCAUGUAUGGACAAUAUGAUUUGGUUUAUGUUGAUUUCCAUAAAACUGAAUUCAUAGGAGUGAAAUGAACAUUUUUUUUCCCUCAAACAUGAAAUUCAAAAUGAAUUCCAGAACAUUUUGUGGAAUCAUUUAUACCAAAGAGGUCUACAAGAACAUAAACCAAAUCAUUUAUAUAUAUAGACACAUACAUAUGAGCGCGUGAGAGUGCAUGCACCAAAACAGGGCCCUUACAAGAAUAAAUUUCAAUGUGUCUGUGCGUGUUUCUUUUAUGAGCUGCAUGUAGACAAGUUAAAUGUUCUAUUAAAACUGAUAGGCAACCAUGAUAAGCAAUUGCAGCCAAAAUUGAAAUGAACAUGUCAACCAUUUAAUUUUACCAACCAAUAAGUUUUUGCGUUGUUCAUUAAUAUUAACAAUAACAGAAGUACAGAAACUUACCUUCACUAGAAUGAAUGCAUAAACGUUAAUGGCCAACAGCGACACUCCUAUUUUUGACAAAAGAAAAGAUAAAGAUAAGAUAACAUGGAUUAGCAUAAAGAAAAUUCAAAUGAAAGGUAAUGAACUCAUGAUAAGACAAAAAAACAACAUAGGCUUUUCAUCAAACAGGUGACGUGCUUCGAACUUACCCAAACUAUUGGCAUAGAAAUCAAUCAUUAAUCUUAAAAUAAUUAAUCCAAUUCACCACAUCAACUCCUCAGUAAAAUUAACGAAAGCAUAAAUUAACGGUUAGAUGAUGAAGGAGAACGAAACUCUAUUCAGUGGUAUGGUCAACUAGAUUGCAAUAAUUAUGACACUCUCCGUUCUGGAUUAUCAACAAAUGUAAUAGGAGCUUCGACAAGAAAUUCAAAAGAUGUCAAACUCAGUCGACAAUCUGGUGGAUAUACUACAAUGCUGAACCCAAGCUAUUUCAGACAUUCAGUUGUGGGUAGAACACCGAUCAAAUUUACAAUUUCGCACUGAGUAGAUCCUUAAGAGGUCAAAUUAUAACAAAGGGACUUUUCAUUUUUCGGCUGAGCGGAUUCAAACUCAAAUGAAACUCAGCCAAAUACAUCAAAUGGGAACCAGUAGGGAUUGUUAAGCCGAACAGUAACAGCCCAACCAACGCCAGUUCUAUCAAUACCAUCAGCGUAAUCAUCUCAUCCUAUUUAUUUAUAAUAUUCUCGACAACAUCGUGCCCUUAGGAUCUAUAGGUCAAAUAAGACAGAAAUUCAACACCCAUUUUCGGUGGGAAGAGGCACAAGCAGAAUAUGAUUCAACUGUUUUGCACGGUGCUUUAACAAACCUGGGCAUAGAGUUUCGGGUAGCAGUCCGACCGGUCUAUAGGCAUUUUUGUUUUUUCUUUUUCAUUUUGAAUAAAAAUUUAAAUCUUAUGUAUUUU